CCUACGGGUGGCUGCAGUGAGGAAUAUUGGUCAAUGGGCGCGAGCCUGAACCAGCCAAGUAGCGUGAAGGAUGACUGCCCUACGGGUUGUAAACUUCUUUUAUACAGGAAUAAAGUGAGGCACGUGUGCCUUUUUGUAUGUACUUUAUGAAUAAGGAUCGGCUAACUCCGUGCCAGCAGCCGCGGUAAUACGGAGGAUCCGAGCGUUAUCCGGAUUUAUUGGGUUUAAAGGGAGCGUAGAUGGGUUGAUAAGUCAGUGGUGAAAGUUUGCGGCUCAACCGCAAAACUGCAAUUGAUACUGGCAGGCUUGAGUUUAGUUGAGGUAGGCGGAAUGUGUGGUGUAGCGGUGAAAUGCUUAGAGAUCACGCAGAACUCCGAUUGCGAAGGCAGCUUACCAAACUGCCACUGACAUUGAUGCUCGAAAGUGUGGGGAGCAAACAGGAUUAGAUACCCCUGUAGUC
rnacentral:rRNA from 1 species